AUCACUUCUCAGCCUUUUGGCUAAGAUCAGGUGUAGUAUCUGUUCUUAUCAGUUUAAUAUCUGAUACGUCCUCUCUCCGAGGACGAUAUAUAAUAUCUCAUGGACUGUGGUAAACAGGAGAUGCAACAGGAGCUUGCUUCGUCCAUUCCAUGCCUCGACCUGGUAUUGCAGUACUUCCAGAAACGGUGCACCAAAA
ensembl:snRNA U2 U2 spliceosomal RNA